rnacentral:rRNA from 1 species
UACGUAGGGUCCGAGCGUUGUCCGGAAUUACUGGGCGUAAAGAGCUCGUAGGUGGUUUGUCGCGUUGUUCGUGAAAACUCACAGCUCAACUGUGGGCGUGCGGGCGAUACGGGCAGACUAGAGUACUGCAGGGGAGACUGGAAUUCCUGGUGUAGCGGUGGAAUGCGCAGAUAUCAGGAGGAACACCGGUGGCGAAGGCGGGUCUCUGGGACGGUACUGACGCUGAGACGCGAAAGCUAGGGGAGCAAACAGG